AAACCAGUUCAGCUAUUAAGGGAACCACUCAGCGCAAUGGAGCAAGAUCAGGCAAUGUUUCCCAGAGAAGAGCUGUUUACCAUCAAAGAGACUGCUUCCACACAGACAUGGGGUAUUAUACACAAAGAUGGAGCCCACUGUGUCCAGUGAGUGCUGCCAACUGGAACACUGACUCAUCUUGGUGGUUUGAUCUUCCAAAGGUAACAGUCCAUCAUGGAGGGAGUCAGGACAGGAAGUCAAGCAGAAACCUGAGGGCAGGAGCUGAAGCAGAGGCCAUGGAGGAUGCUGCUUACUAGCUUGAACCUCAUAGCUUUCUCAGCCUGCUUUCCUAGAGAACGCAGGAGCACCAGUUCGGGGCUGACACCAGCAACAUCACUUGUCCAUCAAGAAAAUACACCACAGGCUUGUCCCAGGUGCCAGUGGAGGUCCACGGAGGGCAUUGGAUCCUCUAAUGCUGGAGUUGCAGAUGUUUCUAAGUCUCUGCAUGGGUCCUGGGAACCAAACUGGAGUCCUCUGGAAGAGCAGGGAGUGCUCUUAACAGCUGCAUCAUCGCUCCAGCCCCAAGAUUUUCAUUCUUUAGCCUCAUCUCAUAUGUGGCACAUUCAGUUACUCUGUUAGGAAAACACUGGUUUGUAUGAAACACUGAAAAAAAGGUUUUAGGCAAAGAAGAUGGCCUGAUUAAUGUUCUAGAUGGUGGUAACGGGAAAGCCCUUUUUAAAUGGAGGAAUCCUUUCCAUUAAGUUCUGUGCAUUUGCAGUUCGCAGACCUCAUUGGAUGAUACCCUCGUAGCCACACCCUCAAGCUCAGUUUCUUUUGUCUUCCCAAAUGAGUACUUUCAGACCAGAGGGUCAGGGAGCUAGAUUUAAAGCCAUGCCUUUAAUCCUUGAUGUCUAGAUUUUUCUAUUGUAGCAGGCAUGCUGUUUUGACCUAUGGAAGUCUAUUAGGAGACCAAGGAUCAAGUGAGCGUAAAGUGUCACACUGUCACGGGCUUCCCUCACUGCAAAGAGCAGACAGCACAAGCCUGAUCUGGAGUCCCCAGAACCGAGAGGGAAAAAUUCACAGGAGGAAAGAAGUAAAGACACCCAUACCAUCAUCUAUGUUGUAGCAUUUAAUGACUAAUAAAUAUGGAUAGUAUUUGCUAAUA